rnacentral:rRNA from 1 species
AUUGAACGCUGGCGGCAGGCCUAACACAUGCAAGUCGAGCGGAUGGAGGGAGCUUGCUCCUGGAUUCAGCGGCGGACGGGUGAGUAAUGCCUAGGAAUCUGCCUGGUAGUGGGGGAUAACGUCCGGAAACGGGCGCUAAUACCGCAUACGUCCUGAGGGAGAAAGUGGGGGAUCUUCGGACCUCACGCUAUCAGAUGAGCCUAGGUCGGAUUAGCUAGUUGGUGGGGUAAAGGCCUACCAAGGCGACGAUCCGUAACUGGUCUGAGAGGAUGAUCAGUCACACUGGAACUGAGACACGGUCCAGACUCCUACGGGAGGCAGCAGUGGGGAAUAUUGGACAAUGGGCGAAAGCCUGAUCCAGCCAUGCCGCGUGUGUGAAGAAGGUCUUCGGAUUGUAAAGCACUUUAAGUUGGGAGGAAGGGCAGUAAGUUAAUACCUUGCUGUUUUGACGUUACCAACAGGAUAAGCACCGGCUAACUUCGUG